rnacentral:rRNA from 1 species
GACAGAGGGUGCAAACGUUGUUCGGAUUUACUGGGCGUAAAGAGCGUGUAGGCGGCCAGGUAGGUCUGCUGUGAAAACUCGAGGCUCAACCUCGAGACGUCGGCGGAAACCAUCUGGCUAGAGUCCGGAAGAGGAGAGUGGAAUUCCUGGUGUAGCGGUGAAAUGCGCAGAUAUCAGGAAGAACACCCGUGGCGAAGGCGGCUCUCUGGGACGGUACUGACGCUGAGACGCGAAAGCGUGGGGAGCGAACAGG